rnacentral:rRNA from 1 species
UACGUAGGGGGCUAGCGUUGUCCGGAAUCAUUGGGCGUAAAGCGCGUGUAGGCGGUCCGGUAAGUCCGCUGUGAAAGUCGGGGGCUCAACCCUCGGAUGCCGGUGGAUACUGUCGGGCUUGAGUACGGAAGAGGCGAGUGGAAUUCCUGGUGUAGCGGUGAAAUGCGCAGAUAUCAGGAGGAACACCAAUUGCGAAGGCGGCCCACUGGUCCGGUACUGACGCUGAGGUGCGAAAGCGUGGGGAGCAAACAGG